GAUGAACGCUGGCGGCGUGCCUAAUACAUGCAAGUCGAGCGAAUGGAUUAAGAGCUUGCUCUUAUGAAGUUAGCGGCGGACGGGUGAGUAACACGUGGGUAACCUGCCCAUAAGACUGGGAUAACUCCGGGAAACCGGGGCUAAUACCGGAUAACAUUUUGGACCGCAUGGUUCGAAAUUGAAAGGCGGCUUCGGCUGGCACUUAUGGAUGGACCCGCGUCGCAUUAGCUAGUUGGUGAGGGAACGGCUCACCAAGGCAACGAUGCGUAGCCGACCUGAGAGGGUGAUCGGCCACACGGGGACGGAGACACGGCCCAGAGUCCUCCGGGAGGGAGCAGUAGGGAAUCUUGCGCAAUGGACGAAAGUCUGACGGAGCAACGCCGCGUGAGUGAUGAAGGCUUUCGGGUCGUAAAACUCUGUUGUUAGGGAAGAACAAGUGCUAGUUGAAUAAGCUGGCACCUUGACGGUACCUAACCAGAAAGCCACGGCUAACUACGUGCCAGCCGCCGCCGUAA
rnacentral:rRNA from 1 species